CCCACAACCACCACCACCACCAACAAAAGAAAAGAGCUCAGGGACAGUGCCCAGGCCCUGAUUUCAAGCUCCACGACCACCACCACCACUAAAAAAAUACAACUAUAAGAAUAUAGAAAUUCUUGCAACUAAGGUUGCCACUUUUAAUAUUGCAUUGUAUAAUAUACUCAGAAGGCUCAUUGCUGAAUAAUGGGUGCCUCCUUUCAAGUUUCUUUUUGUGACUAAAAGGAAGGGAGACAGCAGAGUAUAAACUUUUCCCUAUAUAGUUAUAACAAAUAGAUAUUUAGUAAAUGAUCUUUAAAAUAAAAAUGAAAUUAAGUAUAUUAUUAAGUUUGAUUUAAUUGAAAAGUCUAUACAUGAUUAAAAAAAACUAAAUUUUGCAAAGGACUGUGAGGACUGUUAACUACUCCAUACUCCAUCUUAGAGUCCACCCUCAUAGAUGUUGACUUAUAUAUCCUUUCAAAAUACUCCAUGCAUUCAGAAGUGUAUAUGUCACUUUUUUUUAUUACUCUGAUAAAACACCCAAGAUAACAACUUAAGAGAGAACAAUUCAUUUUGACUCAUGGUUUCAGAAGUGUCAGUACAUCAUGGCAGAGGGGCAUGGUGAAGAUGAAAUAUUUACAUCAUGUCUGAAAGGAAGCAGAGAAAAAGGGAAUGCGAGAAGGGACCAGGGCAUAGUCCUAGAAGGUGUACUCCCAGUGAACUAUUUCCUCCAACGAGGCCCCAGAUUCUACC